GUGUGUGUGUGUGUGUGUGUGUGCGUGUGUGGGUGUGUGUGUGUGUGUGUCGUCGAGCCACGACGCUGUGGUUUCCAGAGCGAGGAGGGGAUCGACACUCUUUAACCGAGAUAAAGCAGGGAGGCAGUGAUAGCAAACAUGGAUCCGAUUCAGAGAAACGACGCAGAAGAAGAAGAAGAAGAGGGGAGCGGGAUCGAGGGAACGUGUGAGAGAGCUGCUUGGGACACAACAAAGGUGGAAAAUAAUUGAGUCCUAACUGCGUUGUUGAAGUGCUGCCGUGAGUUAUUGGCUGUGUUCGGCUGCCAAGGCUUUCCCGAGGCCCCGCAAGGCCUCGCUGAAGGCGAGCUCAAUAAAACAAGGCGGCCUGGAAGGUUAAACCUGCAGCAGGUGAGAUUUUAAGGCAGGAAAUGUCCUCGUCCUAUCAACUGGAAUCACAAAGUCUGCAGCAGAGAGAGCUCCUAAUCAUAAUUUACAAAGCUUUUGAAUUUUAAUAUAUGUUAACCCAGAGGACAUGUGAGAUUAUUGGUUUUAUGGCUUCAAAAUAAAGCAAAAGUUCAGACGUUGUGAAGUUUGGGUUUGUGGAUUUGUUGUGAACAUUUAAUACCUCCUGUGUUGUGGACGUAGGCAGAAAUCUCAUGGGGUUGAAACCCCUGCAGUUGUUGAAAAACAGAGAGCGUCGCUGUGUGGAGAGAAUGUCUGAGGACUUCAUGGACCGGCUGCCUCCAGGACUUCACCACAUGUAAGGAGAAGAAAACGGGUGUUUUCAGGGUGAAUGUGAAACACCUGUCCAGGUUCUACAAACAACAAAUGGGUCAGGUCUCGGGGGCAGCAGUCUAAGCAGAAAGACCCAG